rnacentral:lncRNA from 1 species
UCAUCUAAAGGUAAAAAACUCACUGUUAAGAGUAAGUACACAGAAAAACCCAAAGUGUGAUAACAUUGUAACUGUGGUGUGUAAGUAGAAAGAAUAAAUGAUAAACCAAUCAAAAAUAGUAACUACAACUUUUCAAGACCAGUCAGAAAAAUAAGAUAAAAUUAGAAACAACAAAAAGUUAAAAAGUGGGGGGAUGAAGUUAAGAUGUAGAGUUUUUAUUAGUUUUUUGUUUGUUAAUGCAAACAGUGUUACCAGGUUAAAAUAAUGGGUUACAAAAUAGUAUUUGUAAUCCUUAUGGUAACCUCAAACCUAAAAACAUACACUGGAUACAUAAAAAAUAAAAAGCAAAAACCUAAAUCAUAUCACCAGAGCAAACUACCUUCCCUAAAGGAAGACAGGAAGAAAAGAAAGAAGAAGACCACAAAACAACCAGAAAACAAAUAAAUAACAAGGCAGGAGUAAGUCUUUACUUAUCGAUAAUACAUUGAAUGGAAAUAUGGACUAAACUCUCCAAUCAAAAGACAUAGACUGGCUGAAUGAAUGGAGAAAACAAGACCCAUUGAUCUGUUGCCUACAAGAAACACACUUAAACUAUAAAGACACACAUAGGCUGAAAGUAAAGAGUUGGAAAGAGUUAUUCCAUGCCAAUGGAAACCAGGAAAAAGAGAAGGAGUAUUGAUUUUGAUACAAAAACUAUGAGACAAAUAAAGUCACUAUACAAUGAUAAAGGGGUUAAUAUGGUUUCCAUUUGUGCCCCACCCAAAUUUCGUGUUCUAUUGUAAUCCUCAAUGUUGGAGGUGGGGCCUGGUGGGACGUGAUUAGAUCAUGGGGGUGGAUCUUUCAUGACUAAUUCAGCACCAUCUUCUUAGUGCUGUUCUCAUGAUAGUGAGUUCUUCUGAAAUCUGGUUGCUUAAAAGUGUGUAGCACCUCUCCACACCACCCGCUUGCCUUGGUCUACUCCUGCUAUGUAGAUGCUUGCUCCCACUUUGCAUUAUUCCAUGAGUAAAAGCUCCCUCAGGCCUUCCCAGAAUCAGAUGCCGCUAUGCUUCCUGAACAGCCUGUGGAACUAUGAGCCAAUUCAACCUCUUUUCUUCAUAAAUUAACAAGUCUUGGGUAUUUCUUUAUAGCAGUGUGAGAACAGAAUAAUACAGAAAAUUGGUAAAGAGGAGUGAGGCAUUGCUAGAAAGAUACCUGAAAAUGUGGAAACAGCAGUGGAACUGGGAAAUAGACAGAGGUUGGAAGAGUGUGGAGGGCUCCGAAGAUAGGAAGAUGAGGGGAAGUUUGGAAUUUCUUAGAGAUUUGUUAAAUUGUUUUGACCAAAAUACUGAUGGUGAUAUGGACAAUGAAGUCCAGGCUGAGGAGGUCUCAGAUGGAGAUGAGGGACUUAUUGGGACCUGGAGUGAAGGUCACUUUUGUUAGGACAUUGUGGUUGGAGACAUUGUGCCCCUGCCCUAGGAAUCUGUGGAACUUUGAACUUGAGAGCGAAGAUUUAGGGUAUCUGGCAGAAGAAAUUUCUAAGCAGCAAAGCGUUCAAGACGUGGCCUGGCUGCUUCUGGUAGUCUGUGCUCAUAUUUGUGAGCAAAGACAUGACAAGAAACUGGAACUUAUAUUUAAAAAGGAAGCAGAGUGUAAAAGUUUGGAGAAUUUGCAGCCUGGCCAUGUUGUAGAAAAGAAAAAAACCAUUUUCUGGAGAGGAAUUCAAGCUAGCUGCAGAAAAUUGCAAGUAACAAGGAGCAAAAUGUUGAUAGCCAAGAUAGUGGGAAAAACACCUUGAAGGCAUUUCAGAUACCUUGGGGGCAGCCUCUCCCAUCACAGGCCCAAAGGCCUAGGAGGGAAGGAUGGUUUCCUGGGCCAGGCUCAGGGUCCUGCUGCCCUGCACAACCUCAGGAAACUGCUCUCCAAAUCCCAGCUGCUCCAGCUCCAGCUUCAGCUCAAAGGGCCCCAGGUAUAGCUCAGGCUGCUGCUCCAUAGGAUGCAAGUUAUAAGCCUUAGUGGCUCCCGUGUGGUGUUAAAUUAAGCCUGUAGGUGCACAGAGUGCAAGAAUUGAGGCUUGGGAGCCUCCAACUAGAUUUCAGAGUAUGUGUGGGAAAGCCUGGAUGUCCAGGCAGAAGCCAGCUGCAGGGACAGAGCCCUCAUGGAGAACCUCUACUAGGGUAGUGUGGAGGGGAAAUUUGGGGUUGGAGUUCCCACACAGCUUCCCCUCUGGUGUACUGCCUAGUGGAGCUGUGAGAAGACAGCCACUGUCCUCCAGAUUCCAGGAUGAUAGAUCUGCCAAUGACAGCUUGCACUGUACAACUGGAAAAGCCACAGGCAGUCAAUGCCAGCCCGUGAAAGCAGUGACAGUGGCUUACCCUGCAAAGUCCCAGGGGCUGAGCUGCCCAAGGCCUUGGGAGCCCACCCCUUGCACCAGUGUGCCCUGGAUGUGAGAUAUGGAGUCAAAGGAGAGUAUUUUGGAGCUUUAAGAUUUAAUGACUACCUGCUGGGUUUCAGACUUGCAUGGGUCCAGUAGCCCCUUUCUUUUGGCCAAUUUCUCACUUUUGGAAUGGGAGUGUUUACCCAAUUCCUGUACCCCCACUGUAUGUUGGAAGUAACUAACUGUUUUUUUAUUUUGUAAGCUCACAGGUGGGAGAGACUUGCCUUGUCUCAGGUUGAGACUCUGGACUUUGGACUUUUGAAUUAAUGCUGGAAUGAGUUAAGACUUUGAGGGACUGUUGGGAAGAUAUAACUGUAUUUUGCAGUAUGAGAAGGACAUGAGAUUUGGGAGACACCAGAGGUGGAAUAAUAUGAUUUGGAUCUGCAUCCCCACCAAAAUCUCAUGUUCAAUUGUAAUCCUAAAUUUUGGAGGUUGAGCCUGGUGGAAGAGGAUUGGAUAAUGGGGGUGGUUUCUCAUGGUUUAACACCAUCCCCCUGGGUGCUGUUCUCAUGACAGUGAGUGAGUUAUUGUGAGAUCUGAUUGUUUAAAAGUGUGUGCCACCUCCUCCCACUUUCCUCCUGCUCCAGCCAUGUAAGACAGGCUUGCCUCCCCUUCACCUUUUGUCAUGAUUGUAAGUGUUCUGAGGCCUCCCCAGCCAUGCUUCCUGUACAGCCUGCAGAACUGUGAGCCAAUUAAACCUCUUUUCUCUAUAUAUUACCCAGUCUCGGGUAUUUCUUUAUAGCAGUGCAAGAAUAGACUAAUACAGGGUUCAAUUCAGCAAGAGGAUAUAACAAAUAUAAAUAUAUAUGCACUCAACACUGCAGCACCCAGAUAUAUAAAGCAAAUACGAUUAGAGCUAAAGAGAGAGAGUGACCCCAAUACAAUAAUAGCUGGAGACUUCAACACCACAUUUUCAGCACUGGACAGAUCUUCCAGACAGAAAAUAAAAAAGAAACAUCAGACUUAAUCUGCACUGUAGAUCAAAUGGAUCUAAUACAUACUUGCAGAACAUUUUAUCCAAUGGCUGCAGAAUACACAUUCUUUUUUAGCACAUGUAUCAUUCUCAAGGAUAGACCAUAUGUUAGGUCACAAGUCUUAAAACAUUAAAAAAGUUGAAUACCAUCAAGCAUCUUCUCUGACCACAGUGGAAUACAACUAGAAACUAAUAACAAGAGGAAUUUUUGAAACUACAAAUACAUGAAAAUUAAACAAUAUGCUCCUGAAUGACCAUUGAGUCAAUGAAGAAAUUAAGAAGGAAAUUGAACAAUUUCUUGAAACAAAUGAUAAAGGAAA